GUCGAGGGAGGAAAUUCAUUCGCGUUUCGGCCGCCGAAGUUGAACGUUUGUAUGACGGAUGAAGUUUCGGCUUCGUCUGCAUCUUACGUUUUUCGAAUCGGUGUCGAACGCGUGCACUUUUCCUCUAGUAGGACGUCGCGAUCCGUUGGGUGUCUGUCUAAGACUUGAGGUGGAGCCCAUGCGAUACAUAUCGUGUGGACCCUUAAUGUUCCGACAGACUCGCUCGACGGUACACUAAUGGCGCGAGGCCGCUACUUUAGUUAGCGUUCGGCCCGUAGCAAGCACGUUCUGUGUUUGACAGCGAUCGGACCUAGUGCCGAUUCUGUUCCGGAACGACUGUUGGUUACGGUGUUCUCGAACAGACCUCG
rnacentral:rRNA from 1 species